UGCGUAGGGUGCGAGCGUUGUCCGGAAUUAUUGGGCGUAAAGAGCUUGUAGGCGGUUUGUCGCGUCUGCUGUGAAAAUCCGGGGCUUAACCCCGGACCUGCAGUGGGUACGGGCAGACUAGAGUGUGGUAGGGGAGACUGGAAUUCCUGGUGUAGUGGUGAAAUGCGCAGAUAUCAGGAGGAACACCGAUGGCGAAGGCAGGUCUCUGGGCCACUACUGACGCUGAGGAGCGAAAGCGUGGGGAGCAAACAGG
rnacentral:rRNA from 1 species